ACCAAGUCAUAUGAAAGAAUAGGGAAUCGGACACUAAAAGUUAUAUGGGCAAUUCAGCAUCCCCGCCACAAAUGCAAAAGUACGAUGACUUAUGUGCAUAUACACAUGUACACCCAUGUUAUCCACAAAUUUAGCACUCCAUCAAGGCAGAGAUGCGGCAAUCUUAUCAACGUGACGAUCCAUGAUGUGCGAUACAGUUUCCAGGAAUGAAACUUCGCUUGUGCCUGGAAGAACAGAAUCCUGUGCUUCUUUGACAAUCUCCUCAAUAACAGAUGCCUUCUUCAAGGUCUCUCUGCACAUUAUCCUUCCAAUAGCAAAGGGGGUGAGGCCCCUCUCCACUCCCUUCUUCAGAAGCAUGGUGGAGAUGCGAAGUGUGCGUGCACAUUCAACAGGCAUGUCCCAUCCAUGGAACUUCAGAAGAGCAAUAUCCUCUUCAGCAUCCAAUGAUUUUACAUAUUCAACAGUGCUAGAGUCAAAAGGUUGACGAGCUUGAGGCCAAUAAAGCCAAUCAAAUGUGCAAUCCUCAAAACUUUCAGGUAGGCAAUAUCCAUGGUCUAUUGGAAUCAGCAUAGUCUGUCCAUCUUCUGCAUCUUUUCUCAAUAAUAUAUUCCCAGCAUGCCUAUCUGCAUUUGCCAUUCUUAUAUCCAACACACAGAUUUUAUGAACUUCCUUAACUGGAAAAGAUCCGGGACCCAUAUCUUCACAACUUCCAUUGUUCUCCAUGAACAUCUGCAAGGAGCCAAUCUUGACAUUUAUAUCCUCUAGAUGGUUAAACCCUUUAUGAAAGCACUUAAUCAUAACUGUAGGUGGAACCCCAGAAAAGCCCUUCUCAUCGCCAGACAAAGAUCGACGUCCACUCUUUGGAUGAUCCAAAAUGUAAGCUGCAACCUCCUUCAUAGCUCCUUCCCCAACUCUUGUGCCUUUCUUCAAACCUUCACCAUCAGAAGACAGUGGUAGCCCUCGAGGGUUGUUCACAGCCAUAGGUUCCUCAUCAAUUGGCUUGAAAACAGAAACAAACUUCUGCCCAGAAGAAUCUUGCAUGAAAUAAGCCCCCCCAGUACCCUCCAUAGAU
rnacentral:misc_RNA from 1 species